rnacentral:rRNA from 1 species
GACGAACGCUGGCGGCGUGCUUAACACAUGCAAGUCGAACGGAAAGACCCUGCUUUUGUUGGGUUCACGAGUGGCGAACGGGGGAGUAAAACAUGAGUAACCUGCCCUUGUCUGUGUGAUAACUUCAGGAAACUGGGGCUAAUACCGGAUAGGAUCUCCUGCUGCGUGGGGGGGGUUGGAAAGUGUCGGCGGUGGGGGAUGGACUCGCGGCUUAUCAGCUGGUUGGUGGGGUAGGGGCUGACCAAGGCUUUGACGGGUAGCCGGCCUGAGAGGGUGACCGGCCACAAUGGGACUGAGAUACGGCGCAGAAUCCUACCGGAGGCAGCAGUGGGGAAUAUUGCACAAUGGGCGGAAGUCUGAGGCAGCAACGCCGGGUGCGUGAUAACGGCUUUCGGGUUAUAAACCGCUUUCGCCUGUGACGAAGCCGUAGUGACGGUAACGGGUAAAGAAGCACCGGCUAACUACGUG